GACGAACGCUGGCGGCGCGCUUAACACAUGCAAGUCGAACGGAAAGGCCUGCUUUCCCUUGUGGAUUGCGGGUACUCGAGUGGCGAACGGGUGAGUAACACGUGAGUGAUCUGCCCCCAACUUGGGUAUAAGCCUGGGAAACUGGGUCUAAUUCCCGAUAGGACUGCAGGGUGGUGCCUGUGGUGGAAAACGAUUUUCUAGUGGUUGGGGAUGAGCUCGCGGCCUAUCAGCUUGUUGGUGGGGUAAUGGCCUACCAAGGCGGCGACGGGUAGCCGGCCUGAGAGGGUGGACGGCCACAUUGGGACUGAGAUACGGCCCAGACUCCUACGGGAGGCAGCAGUGGGGAAUAUUGCACAAUGGGCGGAAGCCUGAUGCAGCGACGCCGCGUGGGGGAUGACGGCCUUCGGGUUGUAAACUCCUUUCGACCGCGAGGAAGCCACCUGGUUGGAAGGGUGGUGACGGUAGUGGUAGAAGAAGCAUCGGCUAACUACGUG
rnacentral:rRNA from 1 species